AUUGAACGCUGGCGGCAUGCUUUACACAUGCAAGUCGAACGAGCGGCGGACGGGUGAGUAAUGUCUGGGAAACUGCCCGAUGGCGGGGGAUAACUACUGGAAACGGUAGCUAAUACCGCAUACCAUCAGAUGUGCCCAUAUGGGAUUAGCUAGUUGGUGGGGUAAAGGCUCACCAAGGCGACGAUCCCUAGCUGGUCUGAGAGGACGACCAGCCACACUGGGACUGAGACACGGUCCAGACUCCUACGGGAGGCAGCAGUGGGGAAUUUUGGACAAUGGGCGAAAGCCUGAUCCAGCCAUGCCGCGUGUAUGAAGAAGGCCUUCGGGUUGUAAAGUACUUUCAGCGGGGAGGCGUUACCCGCAGAAGAAGCACCGGCUAACUCCGUGCCAGCCGCCGCGGUAAUAC
rnacentral:rRNA from 1 species